UCCAGUACCAUAACCAAAUGCCACAUGUGGCUGUGGUUAGUGUGACUGGGGAACAGAUUUUUAAUGUGAAACUAUUUAGCCACAUGUGGCUAACGACACCAUAUUGGGCAGCACAGAUUGAACUCAUUUUGUGUUGUAAGAGCAUCUGCUACUUUUCACUCUUCUCCUUGGUUGAAUUUGCUCACUUGCACGCUGCUCCCCGUCUCCAUCCCUGGAUUUUUACCAAAAUUUGGCCUUUUAGAUGAGUUAGGGACAGCAGGCACACUUUGCCCACUUAAUGUUUUAUUUACAAACAGUGUUAGUGCACUCGGGGACCUUACCGCGUCCCUGUUAUCUGAAGACUAACCCAGUUCAUUCUCCCCACCUCCUUAUCUUCUUAUCUGUGAUGUCUUCAUUACUAAAUAAUGCCAUCCUUCUUAGACCACGUUAUUUCAUUACCCUUUGGUUGGUUGGUUUUCUUUCUACUAUUAAGAGUUUUGGCUUUCCGGUCUAAUAUCUGAUACUAACGUGUAUUCUGUUUUGCAGGGAUGGUGAGAGAAGGUCAGCUAAAUGGCUCCUCGGCGGCACACAGUGAAAUAAGAGACUGUAGAACAUGAGAGGGGGCUGGAGAGAUCAUCAGCAUUAGACCAAGGUGUCAGGCCCGACUGUGGAGAGUAUUUAACAAGUAAACUUAUUAAGAACCCAACACUGCUCCGUGGAAGUACCAAAACCCAGAGGUUGAAGGUUGGGGGUAGAGUUGGGAGUAGGGAGGUGUUCCAGCUCAGUCCUUCAUGCCCACUGGUUCUUGAUCUUCUGUGGCCUCUUCCAGUUCACGAAUCCCCAAGUGACAACGGGGCCCAGUGCUGCCCCCACCCCUGCGCUGGACAUGCCUGUGUCCACACACCAGAUCAGUGCGACACCUUCACUGACUGUGGCCCCAGCCCUGCAUGAAGGACUUGGGAGCUAGACGCCGUGGGGUCACCGGGGCCCUUGUUGCAGUUUUGUACUCUAUACCUGGUUUUUCAAUUAAGCUUAAUGGCUUUUUUAAAACAUGACUUGAAGCUCUAGUUUUCUAGACCUUUUACAGUGUACAGUAUUUUACAUAACUGAGCUGUAUUAAAAGCUUGUUCAUUUACUUCCCAGGGCCCUGGCUCUACUUUUAGAGUCCCUUUAGAAAACCUGCAAAGGCACUAAAUGAGCCUAGUUUUUGUAACUUAAAAGUUGUGUUCUUUCA